rnacentral:tRNA from 1 species
GGGCCUUUAGCUCAGCUGGCAGAGCGGUCGGCUCAUAACUGAUUGGUCCGGGGUUCAAAUCCCUGAAGGCCCACCA